rnacentral:rRNA from 1 species
CCAAUAGCGUAUCUUAAAGUUGUUGCAGUUAAAAAGCUCGUAGUUGAAUUUCGGGAUUGACACAUCGGUCGUGCCUUAAGGGGUAUGAACUGGUGUAGUCAAUUUCUCACCUUCUGGAGAACCGCGAUGUCCUUAAUUGGGUGCCGCGGGGAACCAGGACCUUUACUUUGAAAAAAUUAGAGUGUUUAAAGCAGGCAUUUUGCUUGAAUACAUUAGCAUGGAAUAAUAAAAUAGGACGGAUGAUUCUAUUUUGUUGGUUUCUAGGACCACCGUAAUGAUUAAUAGGGAUAGUUGGGGGCAUUAGUAUUCAAUUGUCAGAGGUGAAAUUCUUGGAUUUAUUGAAGACUAACUACUGCGAAAGCAUUUGCCAAGGAUGUUUUCAUUAAUCAAGAACGAAAGUUAGGGGAUCGAAGACGAUCAGAUACCGUCGUAGUCUUAACCAUAAACUAUGCCGACUAGGAAUCAGACGAUGUUAAUUUUUUAAUGACUCGUUUGGCACCUUACG